rnacentral:rRNA from 1 species
AUACGGAAGGUCCGGGCGUUAUCCGGCUUUAUUGGGUUUAAAGGGAGCGCAGGCGGAGAUGCAAGCGUGACGUCAAAUUUCGGGGCUCAACCCCGUCUCGCGUCGCGAACUGCGUCCCUUGGUUGCGGGAAGGGGAGGCGGAACUCGAGGUGUAGCGGUGGAAUGCAUAGAUAUCACGAAGAACUCCGAUCGCGAAGGCAGCCUUCCGGCCCGUCAACGACGCUCAUGCUCGAAGGUGCGGGUAUCAAACAGGAUUAGAUACCCUGGUAGUCCGCACAGUAAACGAUGGACACCCGCGGUUUGGCCUAUAUGGCUGAGCCGCCAAGCGAAAGCGUUAAGUGUCCCACCUGGGGAGUACGCCGGCAACGGUGAAACUCAAAGGAAUUGACGGGG